rnacentral:rRNA from 1 species
GGGGAAUUUUCCGCAAUGGGCGAAAGCCUGACGGAGCAAUACCGCGUGAGGGAAGAAGGCUCUUGGGUUGUAAACCUCUUUUCUCAGGGAAGAAGUCCUGACGGUACCUGAGGAAUCAGCAUCGGCUAACUCCGUGCCAGCAGCCGCGGUAAUACGGAGGAUGCAAGCGUUAUCCGGAAUUAUUGGGCGUAAAGAGUCCGUAGGUGGUCAAAUAAGUCUGCUGUCAAAGACCGGGGCUUAACUCCGGAAAGGCAGUGGAAACUGUAGGACUAGAGACCGGGAGGGGUAGAGGGAAUUCCCAGUGUAGCGGUGAAAUGCGUAGAGAUUGGGAAGAACACCGGUGGCGAAGGCGCUCUACUGGACCGGAACUGACACUGAGGGACGAAAGCUAGGGGAGCGAAAGGGAUUAGAUACCCCUGUAGUC